GAAUAGCAAAGGUGGGGAGAAAAAUCUGCCCCACAAAUAAACAUAUAUACAUAUCUACUUCAAAAGAUAACAUUAAGGGAGGUAUGUGGGUGGGAAUUUUUAACAAAUUGUUUGAUAAGAAUCACAAGUUAACACAUCAAAUGCUGAUGAUAAGAGGAAGUGACCACAACGCACUUACACGUGAACUCAUGCUGAUCCCGCAAGAUCAUUGACCAAUGAGACAGAUGUAAUCCAAUCAUGCACUGGUCAUAAGUGAAAUUUCUCUGCACGUGAAAACAUGUUAUCUAAUUUCAACAAUUUAUCGUUUGAUUAAGUAGGACACUCUGACCCUUUGACCAGACUAGAGACAUCAUAAAUUUACAGUAUAAAUAGCUCACUCUUUAUUUAAGUCUUAGUAAUAAACAAUUAAAACAGAAUUAUCUUCUCUGCUGUCUUAAAUUAUUUUAUUCAGCUUAAUUUUCAAUUAGCAAAUAAAAUUAGUUUUAAGACAGACAGCUAGAUACCAUAAACAUACUAUGUAUACACAGGCCAGAGUCUAAGCUUGAUUUGCUAUAUGAUAUAAAAACUAAACUGACGAAAAAAGGUCAUCUAUUCAAAAUCAUAAAAUGCAAAAAAUACAUUUUGCAAAUAAAACAUUUGACAUAAAAGUUCAUAUUUAAUAUGAAAUAAUAAUACAUAAUUAAUACGAAAUUACAUCAACUAAUAUCAUAUCAAUUGAAUAAAUGACAAAGAAUAGCAAAGGUGGGGAGAAUAAUCUGCCACAAAUCCGCUCUUAAGCUGAAAGAGUGGAUCCCAAAUCCACUCUUAGGUUGAAAGAGUGGAUCCCCCACCCAAGGACUCUGGCGACGUGAAUACAAUUUAUAUAUAACUUGAAAAAUUUACAAGCAUGACAUUCACAUACAUGUACACCAAAAAUAACACUUUAUUUUUGUAAAACGUUUCCACAUUGAGCAGAAAUAUUAAAAAUUCAUAUGAUCAUAUACCAAGAUAUUACUUUUAAAUUAUCUCUUACUGAUAACAAUGAUUAGAGGUGUAAAUUUUAUUCCGGUCAGGACCACAGCAAUAAAAUUACAAUAUAAUCGUCGUUAAGUAUAUGUUUCAGAAUUCAUAUUUCGUCUUACAUCUAGACAUUUAAUAAUAGUAUCCCCUAAAUAUUUUAGUACGGACAAUUAGUACAUUAAUUAACCGAAACUUUAUCUUUAAUCUUAAA